rnacentral:rRNA from 1 species
CCUACGGGUGACAGCAGUGGGGAAUAUUGGGCAAUGGGCGCAAGCCUGACCCAGCAACGCCGCGUGAAGGAAGAAGGCUUUCGGGUCGUAAACUUCUUUUAAGGGGGACGAACAAAUGACGGUAUCCCUUGAAUUAGCCACGGCUAACUACGUGCCAGCAGCCGCGGUAAUACGUAGGUGGCAAGCGUUAUCCGGAUUUAUUGGGUGUAAAGGGCGUGUAGGCGGGGGCGCAAGUCAGAUGUGAAAACUCAGGGCUCAACCCUGGGCCUGCCUUUGAAACUGUGUUACUUGAGUGCUGGAGAGGCAAUCGGAAUUCCGUGUGUAGCGGUGAAAUGCGUAGAUAUACGGAGGAACACCAGUGGCGAAGGCGGAUUGCUGGACAGUAACUGACGCUGAGGCGCGAAAGCGUGGGGAGCAAACAGGAUUAGAUACCCCGGUAGUC